GCGUGGAGACAGGUGGUGCAUGGCUGUCGUCAGCUCGUGUCGUGAGAUGUUGGGUUAAGUCCCGCAACGAGCGCAACCCUCACCCCUGGUUGCCACCGGGUAAUGCCGAGCACUCGAGGGGAACUGCCAGCGUCAAGCUGGAGGAAGGCGGGGAUGACGUCAAGUCAUCACGCCCCUUACGCCCUGGGCUACACACGUGCUACAAUGGCCGGUACAAAGGGACGCAAGACCGCGAGGUGGAGCUAAUCCCAAAAAGCCGGUCUAAGUUCAGAUUGCAGUCUGCAACUCGACUGCAUGAAGGAGGAAUCGCUAGUAAUCGCGCAUCAGCCCGGCGCGGUGAAUACGUUCCCGGGCCUUGUACACACCGCCCGUCACACCACGAAAGCUGUCUGUACUCGAAGUCGCUGAG
rnacentral:rRNA from 1 species